rnacentral:rRNA from 1 species
AUUGAACGCUGGCGGCAGGCUUAACACAUGCAAGUCGAGCGGAGAGAGGUAGCUUGCUACUGAUCUUAGCGGCGGACGGGUGAGUAAUGCUUAGGAAUCUGCCUAUUAGUGGGGGACAACAUUUCGAAAGGAAUGCUAAUACCGCAUACGUCCUACGGGAGAAAGCAGGGGAUCUUCGGACCUUGCGCUAAUAGAUGAGCCUAAGUCGGAUUAGCUAGUUGGUGGGGUAAAGGCCUACCAAGGCGACGAUCUGUAGCGGGUCUGAGAGGAUGAUCCGCCACACUGGGACUGAGCACCGGCCCAGACUCCUACGGGAGGCAGCAGUGGGGAAUAUUGGACAAGGGGCGGAAGCCUGAUCCAGCCAUGCCGCGUGUGUGAAGAAGGCCUUAUGGUUGUAAAGCACUUUAAGCGAGGAGGAGGCUACUUUAGUUAAUACCUAGAGAUAGUGGACGUUACUCGCAGAAUAAGCACCGGCUAACUCUGUGCCAGCCGCCGCCGUAAUAC